rnacentral:rRNA from 1 species
GUGAGAAUGUUGGCAUGAGUAGCGAGAUGUGGGUGAGAAUCCCACAGGCCGUAAACCCAAGGUUUCCAGGGGAAGGUUCGUCCGCCCUGGGUUAGUCGGGACCUAAGCUGAGGCCGAAAGGCGUAGGUGAUGGACAACAGGUUGAUAUUCCUGUACUACCGAUAACCGUUUGAGAGAAGGGAUGACACAGUAGGAUAAGCUAAGCACACUGUUGGUUAUGUGUGCCCAAGCAUUGAGGCAGUCAAAGUAGGCAAAUCCGCUUUGAUAAUGCUGGGAUGUGAUGGGGAGCGAAAUU